GAUGAACGCUGGCGGCGUGCCUAAUACAUGCAAGUCGAACGCUGAAGGAAGAGCUUGCUCUUCUGGAUGAGUUGCGAACGGGUGAGUAACGCGUAGGUAACCUGCCUGGUAGCGGGGGAUAACUAUUGGAAACGCUAGCUAAUACCGCAUGACAACAGUUAUUGCAUGAUUACUGUUUAAAAGUGGCAACUGCUCCACUACCAGAUGGACCUGCGUUGUAUUAGCUAGUUGGUGAGGUAACGGCGCAACAAGGCGACGAUACAUAGCCGACCUGAGGGGGUGGUCCGCCACACUGGGACUGAGACAACGCACAGAAUCCUUCGGGGAGGCGCAGUAGGGAAUUCUUCGGAAUGGAGGGAAAGCUGACCGAGCAAAGCCGGGGGAGGGAAGAAGGUUCUCCGAUCGGAAAGCUUUUUUGUAAGGGAAGGAAGAAAGUUAGAGUGGAAAGUUCACACUGUGACGGUACCUAACCAGAAAGCGACGGCUAACUACGUG
rnacentral:rRNA from 1 species